rnacentral:rRNA from 1 species
UACGUAGGGCGCAAGGCGUUGUCCGGAAUUAUUGGGCGUAAAGAGCUCGUAGGCGGUCGGUCGCGUCUGCUGUGAAAACUCGAGGCUCAACCUCGGACUUGCGGUGGGUACGGGCAGACUAGAGUGUGGUAGGGGAGACUGGAAUUCCUGGUGUAGCGGUGAAAUGCGCAGAUAUCAGGAGGAACACCGAUGGCGAAGGCAGGUCUCUGGGCCACUACUGACGCUGAGAAGCGAAAGCAUGGGGAGCGAACAGG